CAGCCGCCGCGGUAAUACGUAGGGUGCAAGCGUUAAUCGGAAUUACUGGGCGUAAAGCGUGCGCAGGCGGUUUGUUAAGACAGAUGUGAAAUCCCCGGGCUCAACCUGGGAACUGCAUUUGUGACUGGCAAGCUAGAGUCUGGCAGAGGGGGGUGGAAUUCCGCGUGUAGCAGUGAAAUGCGUAGAGAUCGGGAGGAACAUCAGUGGCGAAGGCGGCCAUCUGGGACAACACUGACGCUGAGGCACGAAAGCGUGGGGAGCAAACAGGAUUAGAUACCCCCGUAGUCCCUGUCUCUUAUAC
rnacentral:rRNA from 1 species